AUUGAACGCUGGCGGAAUGCUUUACACAUGCAAGUCGAACGGUAACAGGUCUUCGGAUGCUGACGAGUGGCGAACGGGUGAGUAAUAUAUCGGAACGUGCCCAGUCGUGGGGGAUAACGUAGCGAAAGUUACGCUAAUACCGCAUACGAUCUACGGAUGAAAGCGGGGGAUCGCAAGACCUCGCGCGAUUGGAGCGGCCGAUAUCAGAUUAGGUAGUUGGUGAGGUAAAGGCUCACCAAGCCGACGAUCUGUAGCUGGUCUGAGAGGACGACCAGCCACACUGGGACUGAGACACGGCCCAGACUCCUACGGGAGGCAGCAGUGGGGAAUUUUGGGACAAUGGGCGCAAGCCUGAUCCAGC
rnacentral:rRNA from 1 species